CGCCGCCGCCCACCGCGAGGGAGGCGGCCGGGCGCUCCGAGGGGCAAAAAAGGAGAAAAUGUGGAGAUACAUUUACACUUAACUCGCACAAGGAGCUUGAACGAUAGCAACAGCCUGUAAGAUGAAAGCGACAGCCACCAUCAGUCA